UACGAAGGUGGCAAGCGUUGUUCGGAUUUACUGGGCGUAAAGGGUGCGUAGGCGGUUCUGAAAGUCUGAUGUGAAAUCUCCGGGCCCAACCCGGAAAUGGCAUUAGAAGCUGCAGGGCUAGAGGCUUGGAGGGGGAACUGGAAUGCUCGGUGUAGCAGUGAAAUGCGUAGAGAUCGAGCGGAACACCAGUGGCGAAGGCGAGUUCCUGGACAAGACCUGACGCUGAGGCACGAAAGCCAGGGGAGCAAACAGG
rnacentral:rRNA from 1 species